rnacentral:lncRNA from 1 species
GAAAAUUUCAGACUCAAUAAAGCACAGGUAGGUGCUUUUUGAGCUAAGGAAGAGGAAGCAAGCAGGAAAAUGUACCUUCUGUGACUGUGAACAAAUUAGCAGUUCUUCUCUGUCAGAAUUUCCACAGGAGCAAGAGAAAUGCAGAAUGAGCAGUAAAACUGCAAAAAGAAAAGGAAGAACUAGGUUGACUGGAGAGGAAUGGAGAAGCAGCAUCCAUCCUUCAACCCUGCUGUGCAAACACAUCUGAGACAACACAAAACUUGAAAAGGGGAAAAUGAAAACUGAGCAAUGGCCAAGUAACUACAGUGUUAUUGAACUGUAAGAUAUUUUUAUUAACACCUUUUCCAGCUCUCUUAGAGUCCUUCCAGACAGACCCAAAAUGUGAACCCAAAAUCCAAAUGACACCUCAGGUAAACCCAAAUUAAUCUGGAGUAAACUGGGAUUUCCCAGUUUUCUCUGGUUUAAUAAAACACCUACCGGUAGAGAGAUCCGAGCAUGUAGCCGGGCUGCUUACGUAAGUUUUUGAGGUGAAAGGGGGGCUGGGAACUGGCUCUGAACCCUCCCACAUCAAACUCUGGUUGGGAGAAUCUGGGGUUUGGUGUGGGGAUUCAAUCCUGGGAGGAUCUGAGAUAAAAUAUUGUUAAUGUGGGAUUUGUGUAUAGAUAGUGUUUAAAUGAAAUUUGUGUCUAGCAUGUAUUGCAUCAUCCAGGAAAUGCUAUAGUGUGUAAAGAGUUAAUUUGGUAAGAAGCUGUAUUGACCUUGGAUAUGUGGCUGGAGCCAGAUAAGAGUGUCCAGACUACAAGUGUGUUUGUAUAUAGCUGAUUGCAUCAGAUGAGAUCUGUUCUGCCUGCUGAGAAGAUCUGUGCUGUUUGUCUAGAUUGAAAGUCUUAUGUCCAUUGUCUGCAAUUCUGUUUGUCUUGUCAAGUAAACUUUGUAAAUACUUUUUAACAUCGUCUCUGACGUUCCUUCGUUCUGCGCUCCACUGACGUCAUUCGUCUGCUGCUACGCUGUGCGCAUUACUCUGACAAAUAUCCCAGUUCCUCCCGAGAUUGAGACCUGUCUGGAAUAGCUCCUACUCUACACUUUAAUAUAUUUCUUUUGUCAGCCUAACAUAUAUUUGCUCUUAUGUUUUGUAUGCUAUGUUUUCUCGGGAUUUUA